GCUUGUCUCAAAGAUUAAGCCAUGCAAGUCUAUGUAUAAAUCUUUAUACGGUGAAACUGCGAAUGGCUCAUUAUAUCAGUUAUCGUUUAUUUGAUAAUCACUGCUACUUGGAUAACUGUAGUAAUUCUAGAGCUAAUACAUGCACAAAUUCCCGUCAGGGAUGUAUUUAUUAGAUUGAAACCAAUGCGGGGUAACCCGGUGUUUGGUGAUUCAUAAUAACUUUCGGAUCGCAUUUGCGAUGCAUCAUUCAAGUUUCUGCCCUAUCAGCUUUGGAUGGUAGGGUAUUGGCCUACCAUGGCAUUAACGGGUAACGGAGGAUUUGGGUUCGAUUCCGGAGAGGGAGCCUGAGAAAUGGCUACCACAUCCAAGGAAGGCAGCAGG
rnacentral:rRNA from 1 species